rnacentral:rRNA from 1 species
AUGCAUGCGCAUGCUAUACAUGCAGUCGAACGAGCUUCCGUUGAAUGACGUGCUUGCACUGAUUUCAACAAUGAAGCGAGUGGCGAACUGGUGAGUAACACGUGGGAAAUCUGCCCAGAAGCAGGGGAUAACACUUGGAAACAGGUGCUAAUACCGUAUAACAACAAAAUCCGCAUGGAUUUUGUUUGAAAGGUGGCUUCGGCUAUCACUUCUGGAUGAUCCCGCGGCGUAUUAGUUAGUUGGUGAGGUAAAGGCCCACCAAGACGAUGAUACGUAGCCGACCUGAGAGGGUAAUCGGCCACAUUGGGACUGAGACACGGCCCAAACUCCUACGGGAGGCAGCAGUAGGGAAUCUUCCACAAUGGACGAAAGUCUGAUGGAGCAAUGCCGCGUGAGUGAAGAAGGGUUUCGGCUCGUAAAACUCUGUUGUUAAAGAAGAACACCUUUGAGAGUAACUGUUCAAGGGUUGACGGUAUUUAACCAGAAAGCCACGGCUAACUACGUGCCAGCAGCCGCGGUAAUACGUAGGUGGCAAGCGUUGUCCGGAUUUAUUGGGCGUAAAGCGAGCGCAGGCGGUUUUUUAAGUCUGAUGUGAAAGCCUUCGGCUUAACCGGAGAAGUGCAUCGGAAACUGGGAGACUUGAGUGCAGAAGAGGACAGUGGAACUCCAUGUGUAGCGGUGGAAUGCGUAGAUAUAUGGAAGAACACCAGUGGCGAAGGCGGCUGUCUAGUCUGUAACUGACGCUGAGGCUCGAAAGCAUGGGUAGCGAACAGGAUUAGAUACCCUGGUAGUCCAUGCCGUAAACGAUGAGUGCUAAGUGUUGGAGGGUUUCCGCCCUUCAGUGCUGCAGCUAACGCAUUAAGCACUCCGCCUGGGGAGUACGACCGCAAGGUUGAAACUCAAAGGAAUUGACGGGGGCCCGCACAAGCGGUGGAGCAUGUGG